AGGUGAUGAGUCCAUGUGAUGAGUCCAUGUGAACAGUGUAAGAGGUGAUGAGUCCAGGUGAACAGUAAGAGGUGAUGAGUCCAGGUGAACAGUAAGAGGUGAUGAGUCCAGGUGAACAGUGUAAGAGGUGAUGAGUCCAUGUGAACAGUAAGAGGUGAUGAGUCCAUGUGAACAGUGUAAGAGGUGAUGAGUCCAGGUGAACAGUGUAAGAGGUGAUGAGUCCAUGUGAACAGUGUAAGAGGUGAUGAGUCCAUGUGAACAGUAAGAGGUGAUGAGUCCAUGUGAACAGUAAGAGGUGAUGAGUCCAUGUGAUGAGUCCAUGUGAACAGUAAGAGGUGAUGAGUCCAUGUGAACAGUAAGAGGUGAUGAGUCCAUGUGAUGAGUCCAUGUGAACAGUAAGAGGGGAUGAGUCCAUGUGAACAGUGUAAGAGGUGAUGAGUCCAGGUGAACAGUGUAAGAGGUGAUGAGUCCAUGUGAACAGUGUAAGAUGUGAUGAGUCCAUGUGAUGAGUCCAGGUGAACAGUGUAAGAUGUGAUGAGUCCAUGUGAUGAGUCCAUGUGAACAGUAAGAGGUGAUGAGUCCAUGUGAACAGUGUAAGAGGUGAUGAGUCCAUGUGAACAGUGUAAGAGGUGAUGAGUCCAUGUGAACAGUAAGAGGUGAUGAGUCCAUGUGAUGAGUCCAUGUGAACAGUAAGAGGUGAUGAGUCCAUGUGAACAGUGUAAGAGGUGAUGAGUCCAUGUGAUGAGUCCAUGUGAACAGUAAGAGGUGAUGAGUCCAUGUGAACAGUGUAAGAGGUGAUGAGUCCAUGUGAUGAGUCCAUGUGAACAGUAAGAGGUGAUGAGUCCAUGUGAACAGUGUAAGAGGUGAUGAGUCCAUGUGAACAGUGGAAGAUGUGAUGAGUCCAUGUGAACAGUGGAAGAUGUGAUGAGUCCAUGUGAACAGUAAGAGGUGAUGAGUCCAUGUGAACAGUGUAAGAUGUGAUGAGUCCAUGUGAUGAGUCCAUGUGAACAGU
ensembl:lncRNA